rnacentral:rRNA from 1 species
AUUGAACGCUGGCGGCAGGCCUAACACAUGCAAGUCGAGCGGGGUUUUCGGACCUAGCGGCGGACGGGUGAGUAAUGCGUAGGAAGCUACCCGAUAGAGGGGGAUACCAGUUGGAAACGACUGUUAAUACCGCAUAAUGUCUACGGACCAAAGUGUGGGACCUUCGGGCCACAUGCUAUCGGAUGCGCCUACGUGGGAUUAGCUAGUUGGUGGGGUAAUGGCUCACCAAGGCGGCGAUCCCUAGCUGGUUUGAGAGGAUGAUCAGCCACACUGGAACUGAGACACGGUCCAGACUCCUACGGGAGGCAGCAGUGGGGAAUAUUGGACAAUGGGCGCAAGCCUGAUCCAGCCAUGCCGCGUGUGUGAAGAAGGCCUUCGGGUUGUAAAGCACUUUCAGUAGGGAGGAAGCGUUGUGUGUUAAUAGUACACAGCGUUGACGUUACCUACAGAAGAAGCACCGGCUAACUCUGUGCCAGCCGCCGCGGUAAUAC